rnacentral:rRNA from 1 species
AUGCAGUCGAGCGAACAGAUAAGGAGCUUGCUCCUUUGACGUUAGCGGCGGACGGGUGAGUAACACGUGGGUAACCUACCUAUAAGACUGGAAUAACUCCGGGAAACCGGGGCUAAUGCCGGAUAACAUAUAGAACCGCAUGGUUCUAUAGUGAAAGAUGGUUUUGCUAUCACUUAUAGAUGGACCCGCGCCGUAUUAGCUAGUUGGUAAGGUAAUGGCUUACCAAGGCGACGAUACGUAGCCGACCUGAGAGGGUGAUCGGCCACACUGGAACUGAGACACGGUCCAGACUCCUACGGGAGGCAGCAGUAGGGAAUCUUCCGCAAUGGGCGAAAGCCUGACGGAGCAACGCCGCGUGAGUGAUGAAGGGUUUCGGCUCGUAAAACUCUGUUAUUAGGGAAGAACAUAUGUGUAAGUAACUGUGCACAUCUUGACGGUACCUAAUCAGAAAGCCACGGCUAACUACGUGCCAGCAGCCGCGGUAAUACGUAGGUGGCAAGCGUUAUCCGGAAUUAUUGGGCGUAAAGCGCGCGUAGGCGGUUUCUUAAGUCUGAUGUGAAAGCCCACGGCUCAACCGUGGAGGGUCAUUGGAAACUGGGAAACUUGAGUGCAGAAGAGGAAAGUGGAAUUCCAUGUGUAGCGGUGAAAUGCGCAGAGAUAUGGAGGAACACCAGUGGCGAAGGCGACUUUCUGGUCUGUAACUGACGCUGAUGUGCGAAAGCGUGCGGAUCAAACAGGAUUAGAUACCCUGGUAGUCCACGCCGUAAACGAUGAGUGCUAAGUGUUAGGGGGUUUCCGCCCCUUAGUGCUGCAGCUAACGCAUUAAGCACUCCGCCUGGGGAGUACGACCGCAAGGUUGAAACUCAAAGGAAUUGACGGGGACCCGCACAAGCGGUGAGCAUGUGGUUUAAUUCGAAGCAACGCGAAGAACCUUACCAAAUCUUGACAUCCUUUGACC